rnacentral:tRNA from 1 species
UCCUGGCUAACUCAAAUGGUAAAGAAUCUGCCCACAAUGCAGGAGACCUGGGUUCGAUCCCUAGGUUGGGAA